UACGUAGGGUGCAAGCGUUAAUCGGAAUUACUGGGCGUAAAGCGUGCGCAGGCGGUUAUGCAAGACAGAUGUGAAAUCCCCGGGCUCAACCUGGGAACUGCAUUUGUGACUGCAUGGCUAGAGUACGGUAGAGGGGGAUGGAAUUCCGCGUGUAGCAGUGAAAUGCGUAGAUAUGCGGAGGAACACCGAUGGCGAAGGCAAUCCCCUGGACCUGUACUGACACUGAGGCACGAAAGCGUGGGGAGCAAACAGG
rnacentral:rRNA from 1 species